rnacentral:lncRNA from 1 species
GCAGGCAGUGUGCAGACCACGUCUCUGCGGGAGAGGGCGCGUGUUCCUGGUGUCGGAUCAGCUGUGCCACGACGUGAGGGAGCCAGGACUGUGCCCCGGAAAUCGACGACUGUACCUAACAGGCUACGGUAGUCCAGUGUGUGAUUGUUACGACGGCGAGUUUCCUGCUCCUGAUGGCUCCUGCUACCCGCUCUUCAGCCAGGGUCCUUGCCCGCCAUCACAGGUAAGGCGGCCAUUACAGGUAAGGCGGCCAUUACAGGUAUGGCGGGAAGACAGACGAAACGAAGGAAAUUACCGCGGAUUGUCUUCGUGCGGGGGAAUUUAGAGUAUUUGCUUCUUUGAGAUAUGGAUUGUUAUAUUUCUUUUAUUUCGUGGUAUGUAGGGAUAUGUAUUGAGCGUAGGUAUAACUGUCUAAGAUGGAGUCUUAUUUGACACGAAACGAUUGUGAGCGAUGUUUGUUUUGCUUCUCACUGUGACAUAUUUUCCAUUAACCGAUUAUAUUCAGAUGUUUAUUCAUCAAAUGAUUAUAAAGUAACUGAUAUGGACG